GAUGAAGAACGCAGUGAAAUGCGAUAAGUAAUGUGAAUUGCAGAAUUCAGUGAAUCAUCGAAUCUUUGAACGCACCUUGCGCCCUUUGGCCAUUCCGAAGGGCAUGCCUGUUUGAGUAUCAUGAACACCUCAACUCUUUAUGGUUUUCCAUGAUGAGCUUGGACUCUGGGGGUUCUGCUGGCUCACAGUCGGCUCCUCUAAAAUGAAUCAGCUUACCAGUGUUUGGUGGGUAUCAUGGGUGUGAUAACUAUCUACGCUUGUGGUUUUUCCACCAGGUAACCUUCAGCAGUGGAGGUUCGCUGGAGCUCAUAGAUGUCUCUCCUCAGUGAGGACAGCCCUUUGAAUGUUUGAUCUCAAAUCAGGUAGGACUACCCGCUGAACUUAAGCAUAUCAAUAAGCGGAGGA
rnacentral:misc_RNA from 1 species